rnacentral:rRNA from 1 species
GACGAACGCUGGCGGCGUGCUUAACACAUGCAAGUCGAACGGAAAGGCCCUGCUUUUGUGGGGUGCUCGAGUGGCGAACGGGUGAGUAACACGUGAGUAACCUGCCCUUGACUUUGGGAUAACUUCAGGAAACUGGGGCUAAUACCGGAUAGGAGCUCCUGCUGCAUGGUGGGGGUUGGAAAGUUUCGGCGGUUGGGGAUGGACUCGCGGCUUAUCAGCUUGUUGGUGGGGUAGUGGCUUACCAAGGCUUUGACGGGUAGCCGGCCUGAGAGGGUGACCGGCCACACGGGAACGGAGAGAGGGUCCAGAGUACUACGGGAGGCAGCAGGAGGGAAUCGGACGCAAUGGGCGAAAGCGUGACGGAGCAACGUCGCGUGAGUGAUGAAGGUGUUCGGAUCGUAAAACUGUGUUAUGAGGGAAGAACAAAUGUGUAAGUAACUAUGCAGGGCUUGAAGGUACGUAAUCAGAAAGCCACGGCUAACUACGGG